UGGGGAAUUUUGGACAAUGGGCGAAAGCCUGAUCCAGCAAUGCCGCGUGUGUGAAGAAGGCCUUCGGGUUGUAAAGCACUUUUGUCCGGAAAGAAAUGGCUCUGGUUAAUACCUGGGGUCGAUGACGGUACCGGAAGAAUAAGGACCGGCUAAAUACGUGCCAGCAGCCGCGGUAAUACGUAUGGGGCGAGCGUUGUCCGGAAUUAUUGGGCGUAAAGGGUACGUAGGCGGUCUAUUAAGUCAGGUGUGAAAGCGUGAGGCUUAACCUCAUUAAGCACUUGAAACUGAUAGACUUGAGUGAAGGAGAGGAAAGUGGAAUUCCUAGUGUAGCGGUGAAAUGCGUAGAUAUUAGGAGGAAUACCGGUGGCGAAGGCGACUUUCUGGACUUUUACUGACGCUCAGGUACGAAAGCGUGGGGAGCAAACAGG
rnacentral:rRNA from 1 species